CUGGGAGCUCUGGGACGGGCUGGGAGCUCUGGGACGGGCUGGGAGCUCUGGGCCGGGCUGGGAGCUCUGGGCCGGGCCGGGAGAUCUGGGCUGGGCCUGCUGCAAAGCGCCCUCCGUGAGCAGGGGCAGCGCUGGAUUCUUCUUCUUUUUCUUCUUCUUCUUUUUCUUCUUCUUUUCCUUCCUCUUUUCCUUCCUCUUUUCCUUCUUCUUUUCCUUCCUCUUUUCCUUCCUCUUUUCCUUCCUCUUUUCCUUCCUCUUUUCCUUCUUCUUUUCCUUCUUCUUUUCCUUCUUCUUUUCCUUCUUCUUUUCCUUCUUCUUUUCCUUCUUCUUUUCCUUCUUCUUUUCCUUCUUUUUUUUUUCUCCUUCUUCCCCUUCUUCUCCUUCUCCUCCCUAUCUUCUUCCUCCUGCUCUUCUUCCUCCUUCUUCCCCUUCUUCUUGUUUUCCUUCCUCUCCUUCUCCUCCUUCUUCUUCUUCUUUUUUUUUUCUUAUUUUUCUUCUUGUUUUUCUUCUUCUUCUUUUUUUCUCCUUCUUCUCCUUCUCCUCCCUGUCUUCUUCCUUCUGCUCUUCUUCCUCCUUCUUCUUCUUCCUCCUUCUCAUUUUCCUCCUCCUUUUUCUUCCUAUUCAUCUUUUCUUUCUUUUUUUUCUUCUUCUCCUUCUUCUCCUUCUUCCCCUUUUCCUCCUCCUCUUCUCCUCCUCCUUCCUCCUCCUCCUCCUCCUCUCCCCGUUUCCCUGCUCUGGCUCCUCACCCCUCAAAGCCGGGAUUUGCUCCGUGGUUUUCCCGGAGCCCUUUGGGUGUCCCCCAAUCCCGGUGGCUCUGGGGAUGCUCAUUCCCAGCUCCCGGUGCCUCCCGGGGCCACCCCAAUCCGGAGGGAAGGGGUUUGGAGCUGCUGGGUGGAUUUUCCCAGCUCCAGAGGCUCUGGCACGGGGUCUCAUCCCGGUUUUUUCCGUCCCCAGAUGUCCCUGAGGUCGAGGUGGCCCUGGAGAACAACCUGGAAGAGGAUCCGGUCCAUCCCAAACCCCACAGCCGUCUCCCCCAGCCUGGAGGAGAUCCAUGUGGAGGAGGUCAGGUCCCUCCAUCCCAUCCAGGCUCUCCCGCUCCCCUGCUGGAAGAAGCGGCCGCUGCCCAGCAUGGAGAGGGGCAGCCAGGUGUCUCCCAAAAUCCUGAAGCUGGAAUGUGACCACGAGGCGGGCCCCAGCCAUCCCAAAUCCCAGUGGGAAUUCCAGACGGAGCCCGGCCCCUCCGCGUCGCGGCACAACUGCGUCUGCGCCGGUGACACGGAGGGCGGCAGCAUCAUCAUCUGCAGCUCGGAGGACAGCGACGAGGACGCCGUGCUGGUGACGGUGACACCGGAGCCGCCUCCCUGCUGACGUCCCGCGGGAUCCUCCGCCCCCAUCCCGCCAUUCCCGGCCCCAGAGUUCCGCCGGGCCUUUCCUCUCCUUGGCCAAUCCCAAAUCCCUUCCUGGACUGAGCUCAGAGCGGCCCCAAAUCCUGCCUGGAUCUGCCGGGAUCUCCCCUCGGAUGAGCCGAGGUUUCCUGGGAAUGAUCCUCUCCUCUCAAACCCCAUCUUAAAUAAAAUUUGGGAUGGGAGGUGGGAUCCGCGCUGG
ensembl:lncRNA